AACUUAUGAAGAAAGGUGGAGGGAUAGGCCCUGUGAAACCUUGGCAACCUCCGCUCGCGGAAUAGGUGCCAAAUCCAAUUAGCCAACGGCUGAAAAGAUAAGUA
rnacentral:ncRNA from 2 species